rnacentral:rRNA from 1 species
GGGGAAUAUUGGGCAAUGGGCGGAAGCCUGACCCAGCAACGCCGCGUGAUUGAAGAAGGCUUUCGAGUUGUAAAAAUCUGUCCUUGGGGACGAAAAAAAUGACGGUACCCAAGGAGGAAGCCCCGGCUAACUACGUGCCAGCAGCCGCGGUAAUACGUAGGGGGCGAGCGUUGUCCGGAAUUACUGGGCGUAAAGGGUGCGCAGGCGGUGCUCUAAGUCAGAUGUGGAAUAUCCAUGCUUAACGUGGAGGGUGCAUUUGAAACUGGAGCACUUGAGUGCAGGAGAGGAAAGUGGAAUUCCUAGUGUAGCGGUGAAAUGCGUAGAUAUUAGGAGGAACGCCAGUGGCGAAGGCGACUUUCUGGACUGUAACUGACGCUGAGGCACGAAAGCGUGGGGAGCAAAC